rnacentral:lncRNA from 1 species
GGUGGAAGCAAACCUCAGUGGCAGGAUGACCCUGAGUAUAGAGACGGAGGUGGUGUCCAUUCAAAGUUAUUUUAAAAAUCUUGGAAACCCUCCCCAGUCGGCUGUGGGUGUGCCUGAAAACAGAGACCUGGAGAGCAUGGUGCAAGUGCGGGUGGACAAUCGGAAGCUUCUGCAGUUUUUGGAGGGACAGCAAAUACAUCCUACGACGGCCCUGUGCAAUAUUUGGGACAAUACUCUUCUUCAGCUUGUUUUGGUUCAAGAAGAUGUCUCUCUUCAGUAUUUCAUUCCUGCCUUGUAAAAAUUCAGCCAGCUUAGAUUUUUUUUUUAAGGUUUUGAUCUUUUCAAAACUAAAACAGACCCUGAGUUAAUUGGGUUGAAAAUUUGGACCUUCACUGACUUAUGCAGGGCGUAUAUUUUGUUGAGCCCUUCCUCCUUUGCAAAAUUUAUAUUAAAGCAUUGGUAAAACAGUUGGGUAGUUCAUGUUUUGUUUAUUGGGUUUGUCAGGUUUUUUUCCUGCUUAAGAUUCUAUCAAAGUUAUUCUUCAACUCUUUUUUUCGGGGGGGAAAAACAGGGUUGUAAUGAAAUAAGUAUUUUUGAAUCCUGAAACAAUUGCAUCAGUAUUUUAUUAUAAAAUGCUGCUGUGUAAAGCGGGAAAGUUCUCCUUUUAAAAUAUGUAUGAAUGUUUUCCGAGGGCAUUUCUUAUGUAGAGAGCUAAAUAUAUCUGCAAGAUAAAAGGUAUUUAGCAUGUGUGUGCAUUACAUAUUCUUUGUUAAGCCGUGUUCUGUAUAGGAUAUGUCAAAGAAUAUAUCAGUGUACAUGGUUUUUAGAUUUAUUAUCUACAUAGUUUGAAUUGCUUAUUAGGUUCAUUUUUCACAUGUAUCAUAUUCACAUUAGAAAUCAAGGAAAUAUAGGCAUGUCUCAGAGAUACUCCAAGUUUGGUUCCAGACCACUGCAAAAAGCAAAUAUUGCAAUAAAGACAGAUGAGUUUUUUGGAUUUUCAGUACAUAUAAAAGUUAUGUUUGCAUUAUACUGUAGUCUGUUGAGAGUACAAUAGUACUAUGUCUAAAAAAUGUACACAUCUUAAUUUUAAAAUACUUCAUUGGUAAAAAAUGCUGCUGCUCAUCUGAGCCCUCAGCAAGUCAUAAUCUUUUUGCUGGUGGGAGGUCUUUACCUCCCUCUUGAUAGCUGCUGACUGAUUCCAGUGGUGGUUGUUGAAGGCUCAGGUAGCUGUGGCAAUUUCUUAAAAUAAAGUAGUUAACUUGCUGGAUCGAUUGACUUUCAUGAAAGAUUUCUCUUUAGCAUGGGAUGCUUUGGGUAUUUUAUCCACAGUAGAACUUCUUUCAAAACAGUCCUCUCAGACCCUGCCACUGGUUUAUCAACCAAGUUUAUACACUGUACUAAAUCUUUUGUUGUUGUUUCAACAGUUUUCACAGCAUCUUCAGGAUGCUGUGAUUCCAUCCAGGAGUAGAUUCUAUCUCAAAAAAGUCACUUUCUUUGCUUAUGUAUAAGAAGCAACUCUUCAUCUGUUUGUUUUAUCUUAAGAGUGUAGCAAUUCCUUAAGGCUCUACUUUUUUUUUUUUUUUUUUUUUUUUUUUUUUUUUUGAGACAGGGUCUUACUCUGUCACCCAGACUGGAAUGCAGUGGUACAAUCAUGGCUCACUGCAGCUUCAAACUUCUGAGCUCAAACGAUCCUCCUGCCACAGCCUCCCCUGUAGCUGGGACUACAGGCUCAUGCCACCAUGCCCAGCUAACUUUUUAAUUUUUCUUUUGUAGAGAGGGAGUCUCACUAUGUUGACCAGGCUGGUUUUGAACUUCUGUCCUCAAGCAAUCCUCCCGCCUUAGCCUUCCAUAGUGCUGGGAUUACAGGCAUGAGCCACCAUGCCCAGCCUCUACUUCUAAUUUUAGUUCUCCUGCUACUUCCACCAUACUUGCGGUGACAUCCUCCACCAAAGUCUUGAACUCCUUAAAGUCAUCCGUGCUGGUUGGAAUCAACUUCUUUUUUAUUCCUGUUAAUGUUGAUAUUUUUACCUCUUCCCAUGAAUCAUCAGUGUUCUUAAUGCCAUCUAGAAUGAUGAAUCCUUUCCAGAAAGUUUUCCAUUCACUUUGCCAAGAUCCAUUAGAGAAUCAGUAUCCAUGGCAGCUAUAAACGUACAAAAUUUAUUUCUGAAAUAAUAAGACUUGCAAGAUGAAAUUACUCCUUGAUCCAUGAACUGCGGAAUGGAUAUUGUGUUAGCAGUCAUGAAAACAUUCAUCUCCUUUUGUAUCUUCACCAGAACUCUUGAGUGACCAGGUGCAUUGUUA